CUUUUACAGGUUACAAUAAAAGAUUUUUCUUUUUGUGUGUGUUUUAAAGUUUUACAAGAUUGUAUGCUAGACCUAUAUCCAAAAAGACUAUUUAUUUAGUAACUUCAGUUGAAGAGAGAGGGCUUGAAGUAUUAAUAAAGUUUACGGCGUCUAAUUUCUAAAAUUGAAUUUUUAUGAGUUUGUUUAAAAAGCGCGUCAGUUUAGAGGGUUUUUGUUCGGUUUUUUCCUUUAUUAUUUAGGCAUCAAUGUUUAUAAAUUACGAUGAAAUCGUCACUUCUUUAAUUGCCAUCAACUUUUAGCUGAUAAAUCAAUGAAAUUUUAUUGAAGAUAAAAUGUAAACAAUAAACUUUUAAUAGUAGGUUAGACAUUUUAAAAAUAAUUGAUUAUUUUACAUGGUAUUAAAGCAGUAGAUUCUAAAAUUAAACAGGCUUCUAAAUUACAUCCACUGUAACCUCUAAUCUGAGGACUGUGAAGUAGAUGGAAAAUAGGUCCCGCACAAACUGUAGGAGAAAUUCUAAGCUUAGAAGAGCAUAAAUUAAAAUGCACUUGGACUAAUUUCGAGCUUAAAAUCAUCAAAUAGAUUGCGACAUGCUCCAAAAGUAGACAUGAACCAAAGAAAUUGAAGUCAAAGCCAAACAAUUGGUGAGUACAUAUCCAUAAAUUGACAUAAAAUUUAUCCGGAAUAAUAUUAACACCUUCAUUUACCAGCAUAGUGAAAUUAACAUAAGCGCAGCCCAUGACUAUCUAAUGUUGAAAUUGAACUCACCAAACACAACCUAUCAAUUAUCAAACUCUGAAAUUGAAACCACGAUCUCACAGAACUUAAAAUGGCUGAUAUCUAAAAGGACUCAUUACCGGCUAGCCUACCAUGUUGCCUAUGAAAUUGUUUAUUAGUUGAAUCAAAUUCGGAUUCUCCUUUGUAAUCAUAAUAUCUUCUGUUCACAAGGCUAUUUAUAUCAUAUUGUAAAAAGAAUAAUCAAAGAGCUUUUCUAUAUUAUGCUGCAUAGUCAGCUUUCCAGCUUCAUCAUCAAUCAAUGAGUUACCACAUACCCUUUUUUCUUUGGAGAACGAUGGGAUGCUCCUAUUUCUUUUAUUUUUUUUAAAAAAAAUAAAUUUAGUUGAAAAUAUGAAACAAUUAAAUUCCAAAUUUAAUACCUCGAGUAUUGGUCAUCAAGCCCUUCGUCACUUAUCUCAUUAAGUAAACAAAAGAGAUGCCAAAGACAUGCACUGAAACAAAUCCUAAUAAAUAAAGGGGAUAAUUACCUGCAUACUCCUUAAUUAAAGACUUUUAUGUUCACUCCUAAAAGUGAUAAAAUCAACCCCUCUAGGAUGCGUUUGGUUUGAAGUCGGAAUCAGAAUUAGAAUCGGAAUCAAAAUAAGCUGGAAUCGGAAUCGCUAAUUUUGUUUGGUUCGUUACCUGAAUCGGAAUCGAAAUAAAUCAUUCUUAUUGUCGGUGUUUGGUUUAGGUAGAUAUAAAAAACGUAAUCAAAUUAAUAUACUAACUUUAUCUUUACAAUAUAUUAAUUUAAAUUCAAAUUGAAAAUUAAAUAUUAAAAAUUUACAUCAAAAUUUUGAAAUAAUGUCAAAAUUUUAAAUUUUUUUUUUAAAAAAAAUUAAACUUUGAAGUUGAGUGGAUAAUUCAAAAUAUAAAACUAAAUUUCGAUUUAUUCAAAUUCAAACUUAAAAUUACAAUUUAACUUAAAAUUACAGUUUUAAAUAAAAUUUGAAUAAAACUUUAUAUAAAUUAAAAUUUAAUUUAAAUUCAAAUUUAUAAGUUAGAUUCAAAAUACUUAAUUAAAUUUUAAUUUUUAAAUCAAAUUCAAAAUUCAAAUUUAAAAUUAUAAAUUUAAUUUUUAAAUUUAAACUCAUAUUUUAAUUAAAAAAAAUUAAAAAAAUAAAUUUAAUCCGAAUAAAUAUCUAUUUCGUCAUAAUUCAACUUUCAAUCCGGACUCCUAGGCCGGAUUGAAAAAAUAGAUGAUUGAAAAUUUUUCAUUCCACUCGGGAAUCAGAAUCGGAAGAUAACUCCCGCAUAUCAAACACGAAUUCAUCCAUUUCAAUUCCAAUUCUAUUGGUCGUUAUUUUUAUAUUUCUUUUCAGUUACUAUACGUCGAUGACCCCAGAGAGACAAAAACGAUGACAACCAGCCCUUUACCCCCACCCUCGUCGCCAAUCUCCAGAGGGUCCUCACUAGAAGAAAGGACGGAGACGGCAGCACCACCAGUAAUAUAAAGCCAUAUUAGAAAAACAUAUUUAAAAGCACAAAUGAGUUUUUUUACGGAGUUAACAACUAAUUUCACCAGUAGACAAAAUUUUAGAGGAGAGUCACCACACUUACCUUUUUAGGAGUAAAUAUUGAAGUCAGAGUACUUUUGCGGAGUACUUAAAGCAGCACCAGAUAGUGAAUGGCCCACAAGAGAGAAAAAUUCCAACAAAAUAAUUUGCACCAGAACACAGCGUAGAAAGAGCAAGGAAAACCAUAAAACCAAGCUAUUCAUUUUAUAACCUAUAGAACCGAAGCAUUGCAUUACAAAAUUUCUGAGAAAAGAGUAUCUAUACUGCCCUUCUAAACCUGAUCUGAUGGGUUGUUCCUAACCAUCACAUCAACCAUCAGAAUCUCAGUUAAAAGCACCAAAGAGAGAGAAAGAGAGAUUCUCUUUGCUCUUCUACAUUCUAUAGAGAGAGAGAGAGAGAGAGAGAGAGAGAAAAUUCCUUCACCAGCCCACCAGCCCACCUAUCCUGUUUCCCAAGAACCCAACCAAAAAUAAAAAGAGAAGAGAGAGAGAGAGAGAGAGAGAGAGAAGGGAAAAAAAGAAAAAAGGAAAAAAAAAAAAAGAAAAUUAAUGAAUGAAUCUUGAUGGCACCAUUAAAUGUACACGGCUGCUAAAGCUGGAAAGUUUUUAAAAAGAAGAAAAAAAAAGAAGAAAACUAGUCAAUUUGUGCCGCUGCCCCCUUUGAUAUCAUCUCAUAUUGCAGCACUGAGGUCUCCCAGCCUGCAACUUAUCCCACAUGCACAUCAUCUGCCUCGGGGAUUGGUAGUGCGCGGUGUAGUAAUCAUCUAUGCAGCCGAAUUGGCAAAACUUGACGCUGUGGACGUACUCCACGGCUCUCGAGCUGUUGAACUGCUCCACCCACAUGCCCAUGCUCACAUCUUCCAUCUUAAACAGCUGCAUUAUAUGCCCACUUUCAUAGUCAACUUCCAACUACAAGUGAUCUAUCCGACUACUUAAUAAGUGUGCGUAUGAAAAGUCCGGCCAUUUUUCACAUAUUUUGAAUGGUUUAAGUUUUUUGAGAAAAUUUAAGAUAAUUGAGUAGUUGUAGACAGCAAUAACAUGCGAUGCUCUUAGCAGUUGAUUAGCUAAUAAAAAGAGGCCUUUUUUUAAAGGAAAAAAAACUCCAGACGGAUGCCAAAAAACCUAAUUAGAAACUGACGAGAUUACAAACUGCUAGUGAAACUCUGGUGAUUUUAACUUUUCCCAAGUGUACGAAACAUAAAAUGCGAGAUAUGCUUACUCUUAAUUUAUGUUUCUCAAAUUCCGAUACAAUGAAGUGUGCGAUGUCAGAGGAUACAACAUAGCCAGGACCAUUUGCAUAGGGUGGAUAAUCUUCUUCCGGCCAUUCCUGAAAAUAGGGAAGGCCAAAUUAAUUCAAUAAGCAAAAAGUGGAGGCAUUCAUGUCAUAGACUCAAUAGCAGUUGUUAUCAUCAGAAUGUUGAAGUUAAUUGACAUUAAAUUUCACUAACAACCAACAGAAAAAAAUAAGAAGAGGUCCCAUUAAAUCGAUAAUUAAGUGCAAUAACAAACUAUAACAAAAGAGUUCUCUAGUGAGAUGCAGUGCACAUUCCAACAAUCAAUUCUCUGAAUAAAAAACUGGUAAAAUACAUUUGCAACUACAAAUAUAACUACAAAUAAGCAGCGGUCUUACGUUGUUCCUCAAAUGAAAAUGUCGAGCCGUGUGAAAGCUUAUUAAAGAAAACUCUAGCAUACCAGAACCAACAAAUGCCGGGUGUAAGAAAGCAGGGUAUACGAAACCAUAUCCUGUUACGGACCUAGUUUUUUCUGUGGCCUGAACUACAAAAACGUGAUAAUUUUUUUGCAAGCUGUUAACCACUACAUGACGCGAACAGCUCGUUUGAGAACAAUGAAAGAAUAGAAAUACUUGACGAAGUUCAAUGCUUUGCUACUUUAAAUAAAUGCUCGUGAAUGGAAGUAAAAAAAAUAUAAAGCAAAAAUUACUAGUAGAAAUAUCUAGAGAGAAGCAGCAAUUAACAAAAAGCCUGCAACCGGCCUCCCUAAAUUCAUUCAGACUCGAGAGUUGCCUACAACAUUAUAAUCAGCUGACCUAGUGUUCCUAUAUAUAAUAAAUCACCUUUCCAAGGAGAUAUUAGAAACUUUUAACAUUACAUCUACAAGAUAUAGAUGCUACAGUUGAGGGCUCUCCUCUCCUAAAAUAGCAUGAUUAUUACAUCAUUGAACUGGUAUAACUACCACUACCCAACACUACAUAAUUGUGCAACUGUAUUCCAUGUGAACCUUGUUAGGAUAGACCAACAUGAUCUCUAAGUUGAGCAAUCAACCGCAAUAAAAAAUAUUCGGAUGAUAUUCAGCUUUACUUUUUAAGUGGACGUGCAAAAGUUAUGCCUACUCCCAUUCCAACCAUGUAUCACAUCAAGGCAUUAUCCUUUUCUCAAUUAAACAGUUCAAAAUCCCACAUCCAGAUCCUUUGAAACCCAUGGCAGAACCAACCUGCCCAAUACUUUAGACAGGAGUACAUUGCUCAAAAUGGAAGGCCAGUACUAACAAAGUACAUAAAACACAGAAAGAAUGGAAGAUCAUCUUAAUAACAUAGCAGAAAAUCGGUAGCAAUUCCAAAUAUCAUAACAAGUAAACACAAACCACUUGUCAUAAAUCAGAAUGCUAAGAGCUUGUUUGGCCCAGCAUCUAUUAUUACAGCUGCCCUUAGAGCCAAACUAGACUGUUUGGCCUGGCAGCUUGAAGCGCGGUGGUGGCCCACAACUAUAUAAAUAUUCGGGUCUGCAAAAGCACCAACCUAGUGCUUUCCUCCCGUUCCACAGUGCAGUAAAGGAUCCAACCAUGCAGCCAGGCCAAACAAUCCCAAAUCAAAAAAAAAAAAAAAGAAAAAAAGAGAAACCUCAACAGAAGAUGCAUGUCAACACCCAAUUAGGUAAUAGCAAACACAACAUUGACGUCCAUUAUCUGUUGCAUAUACCUGAAGAUUCGCAAAUAAUACCUUGUAACCAAAUGAAAAGAAAAAAAAAAUUGCUUCAUUACCUCAUACGUGACUGCCCAUUUCCCUUCUCGCAAUGGUUUGUGGUAGUAAUUCAUGUUUCCCACAUACAAGCUUUUAUCAUUUGGUAUUUUCCUGACUUCAGCCAACACUGCACCAAGCCUAACAAAGGUAUCAUCAUCACACUUCAUCACAUACUGCGCAGAAACUGCACGAACCUGGGUGAACAUAAUUUUAAAAAACGGAAGAUUAUUGCCAAGAAUAUGAUCAAAACUAUUAAUUGGAAAGUUUUCAAAGGCAUCUCGAUUCACUCAUAUAGCAGAUUCUAGCAUUGCAUACCCCAUACUCGCAAAUGGCAACAGUCUUCAGAACAACAAGAUCGUAGCUAUCCAGAAAAGGCACGAUAACAAUAUCACCAAAAAACGCUGCCUCUUUCUUCAACUCCGCAUUCACUUCCUUUCGUCCAUGCUGUUCAGAAACAAAUCGCACAUUUUGAGUUCUCGAUCACGUAAUAAAGUAGUUAAAUUGAAGCAUUACAGAUCUAGAAAUUACCAGGGCAACAAAAAAACGAGCCACAAUAUUGGAUGAUUUUCUAACAGCUGACAUCCACGACUUCCUGACAGCCAUACGUUCUGCAAAGUGGUUGCCCGCCGAUAAUAUGCCAAUGAACAACUCAACAGGUCCAUCAGGAAGAGGUGGGGCCUUCCAUUCCGUGGACAUCUCUAAAUGCCUUUGCGGAGCGAAGCUAGGAUGUGAUGUGGGCAAAGAACCGGCAAAUAUCGACUGGAUUUCAAGGUCCCCAUUCAACGACAAACCAGUAGCAUCCUCAAGAAUAAAUCCCUGUCAAUUGCACCCACCCAAAAAAAAAAAAAAAAAAAAAAAAUUGUGAAUUGAAGAGUGCUAAAACCAAAAGAAGAAACACUUAAAAACAUAAGUAGGUAAUUUUGAAGGUGCCACUCACCGUGCGGUAAGGGAAAGAAGUGACAUGCCUUCCGUCGACAUUGACAUGGUAACCUUCCAAGCCAGCACUCAGAGUGAGAACAAAAAGUUUGUCUUCGACGAAAGGAUACGGCCAAUCGAUAGAAACCUUCUUCGUCCGACCGAUCAAACGGUUCAACCACCACGUCGUCUUCGACUCCUCCGACCGGUCGUCAUCAUCCCGAAUCCAUUUCUCACACUUAACUAGCCCAUCAACUAUAUUGCAACCAGCGACCAAUGCGUACAAAAUCAAACUCCAAAAACAAUGGGCGUUUCGAAAAAGUUUUCUUAAAUUAACAAACAGAAGUAACGUCACUACUCAUUAGAAAUGAAAGGACUUUAACGCAACCAGUUGAAAAGGGGAAGCUUACUAGUCUCUUCAUCAGCUCUGGAUUUCCAACCCUCGCAGCGGAGGGCGGAGCCCCACUGCAUGCGGUAGCAAGUGUUCUGCUCGAUCACCGGCUUGCCGCUCCAAUCGCCCUUCAACCGGGGGUUGAAGUGGAGGAUCCUGGGCGGAUCCUCGCCGUCGACCGUCUUGAGCCCUUGCAGCUCCAUCAUGAACUGCGAAACCAUGAUCGCCUGAUCCCCUUCCUUCAAAAUCGUGAUCUUGGGGUCGUAUUCGGGGUGCGCCGGGUAGGGUUUCGCCACGAGCGUGAGGUGGGAGCCGAGGGUGAGGCCGCAGGGGAGCACCAUCAGCCUCCCCCGCUCCCGGAACUCCGCCCCGGUCAUGAUGAUCGAGUGGGGGCACUUCUCCUCCUCCGUCCGAUUCGACAACGCCGCCGCCGUGGCGGGGGACGGCAGCGGGGAGGCCCGCAGCUCCUCGAAGAGCUUCCGCCCCACCUCCCACGCGUCCCGCGCCGCCCUGUGGAGCUCCGAGAAGGGGCCGCCGCGCCCGGUGGCGUUCAGCUGCCGGAAAUCGAGCCCGGAGACGAUCCCGGCGCGGCCGCGCCGCCGCAGGAUAUCGGGGAGCGGCGGCGGCGAGGACGCCGACGACGUGAGGAUCCGGUAGGACUGCUUCGAGGGGCGCACGGGCGCCGCCUCCUCGCUGCCGAGAUGGAGGGCAUGGGCCGCGCCGUCGCCGCCCCCGCCGCCGCCGCCGCCGACGAGGCCGUCGCCGGGGACGGCGACGCGGCUGGAGGCCAAGAGCUCGUAGAAGACGAGGAGGGCGACGUAGAGGAGGGCGAGGGCGAGGAUGGCGUGGAGGGGCCAGUGGCGGCCGAGGGAGGCCGCCACGUCGAGCUUCGUUCGCUUCAUCCCCUUCCUCUCUCCCUCCCCCACCCCCCAACCCCUCCGACCCCAAAAUUCGAGGAAUCAAAGAGAAGGGUUUCGAGCGAUCGAUCUCCCUCUCCGAUCUCCAAGAACACCAACCCUAACCCUAGAAUCGCAGGAGCGGAGGAAACGAAGUGAGACCGCGUCGGAGUGGAGAUGACAGAGAACGCAGAAAGAACGAAAAAGAAAGAGAGAGAGGGAGAUAGAUAGAGAGAGGGGAAUAAAGCCGCUCAAGGUGCGUCUUUUUCAUAUGCAUCGAGUAUUUAUUUAUAAUUAUUCAUAUUUUAUAUUUUACUUUAAAACUAAAAUUAAAAUAAAAAAAGGAAUAUUUAUCUUCUCGUUUUUAUUUUAUUGUUUAAUCAGUUGAACGGUGAUAAGGAAUAAUAAUAAAUAUAUAUAUAUAUAAAUAUAUAUAUUUUUUAUAUAUAAUUUAAUAAUCAUUACAUUAUUAAUAAUUAAAAAAAAUAAAAAAAAAAAGAGAAAAAAAAGAACGAAAGUGGGGAAUGGGGAGGAAGUUGGGGGGUGGGAGCUUUCGGCACCUGGAGAACCGAAAAGCGUAACGCCGAGGGAGACGACGACGGCGACUUCGGAGUUCGGACUCGCGCGAGCGGGGAAAUCCGCCCGUUCCUGGAGAACAGCAAACACACAGCUUUCCUUUAAUAUUUUUUUAGAAAAAAAAAACUUCACAUACCGCCCAUAUAGUUUCGCAUUUUCUCACUUUAGUAUCUGUGAUUUAAAGUGUAUCAAACUAACAUCAUGUGGUUUUAUUUUUAUUUUUUCGUCAACUUUUCUGUUAAUAUUUUGUUAAAUUAUAUACAAAAAUUUUAAAUAUUUCAUAUAAAUUUAUCGAAUAUGCACGGUAAUAUUUUAUCUAAUUGUUCAUUAUCUACCGUCUAGUUUUUAUAGUAAUUAAGAACUCUAUGAAUGAAUUAAUAAUGAAAGAUAUAUUUGGAAACAAAAUUAAGAUAUUGUAUAUAAAUAUCAGAAAGCAAACAAACUAUUUGAAUAGUAAAAUUAAAAUUUUUUAACGUAGUUAUUUUAGAUAAAAUAAUAAGAUUUGUUUUUACAUUAGUUAACUUGAUAGAUUUAUUUAUUUUUCCAAUGUUAUAUAAUUUAAUAGGAUUAAUUUAUGCAUAUAUUAUAUAUAAAAAAAAAACUGAUUUUAAAAACAAAUAGACUUUUACCAGAUGUGAAGGAUGGAUUGUGAUCUGAUUGAAUCCAAACCAAACAUUCUAACGUGAAGACAGGUCAAACUUAAAUUGAUAUGGGCUUUUAUUUAUAUACCCUUUACUAAUAUUUAUAAUUUUUAAAUUUAUUUUUUAUAUUCAAACUAUUUUUUAAAAUUAAUAAAUUCUAAGAUUUUAAAAAUAUUUAAAAAAUUGAAAAUCAAUAGCAGUAUAUUUGAUAUCAUUCCGACUUAAGAUCACACCUUUUAAAAAAAAAAAAAUUCAGGGCUGCAAAAUGUGAUCAUAGAUAUUAUUAUAAAAUAAAAUUAUAUUGUAUUAAAUAAACAAAAAAUAAUUUUGUUAAAAAAUUUUGUAUGCAUGGGACUUGUGAUUAUCCUGUAGCAUAAACUGCAGAGUUCAAAAUUUUGUCCCCCUUCAAGUUUCAACAUCAGGCAUCAUAGUCAUAUUUAGUGUACCUAAAAUUUAAGUUUGGUGAAAGUAUAGACUUUAUUUAACUAUAGGCCAUUUUAAAUUGACUAUUUAAUCUUUCAAAUUUUUAAUUUUUCAUCCUAGAAUCAUUCCCGUCCUAACACGCUUAACUCUCUUAAGCUCUUGGACCUAGCUACCAUCCAAAACACUUAAGCCGGCUUAAAAGUUUAGCCCUAUUAUAUCUUAUAUAUAGGACUAUUUGGAGUCUCACAAUUUUUUCCCCUUUAAGCCUUGACGUUUUUGUCAGGCUCAGACUCAUAAGUAUCAGACGAUGUGAGACUCGUCUCGCUAGCCUUAUCAUUCCGAUCCCGACUUAACCAAAACUCAUCUCACACUUCCGGCUGAUAAUUGGCUCUAAUACCAACUGUAACGCCCCAACUUUCCAGGGGAUCACCCAUCCUAGGACUACUUCCGUCCUAACACGUUUAACUCUCUUAAUCUCUUGGGCCUAGCCACCACCUAAAAUGUUUAAGACAGGUUAAGAGUUUAACCAUAUUAUAUCUUAUAUAUAGAACUAUUUUGAGUCUCACAUAUACCAUCUAUCUACAAAGAUAAAUAACUCAUACAACUUUUUUCUAAGUCAAAGUAUCAUUUGCUAAUUCAAAUCAAACAAAUUAAAAAGUUGAGCAAUAAAAUGAAAAUCUUAUUGGAUUACCGAUUCCAAAUUGUUUAUAAGUCAAAUAGGUUCUGUACAUAUUAACCUUGGCUCCGUUUGGUUCGGAUAUAAAUAAGAACUAUCUAUUCCAGCGAUACAUAUAAGUUCAGGUAUAAAUAAGAAUUAGACUAAAUUUAAGUUUGGAUGAAAAUUUUAAAUUUUAAAUUUUAAAUUUUAAAUUAAAAAUUUAAAGUUUUAAAUUUUAAAAUUUAAAUUUAAUAUUAAAUUUUAUAAUUUGACAUUUUAUAUUUUUAAAAAUAUUUUUCAUUUUUCAAGGAAGCAAAGUGUAGGUUUUUAAAUGAUAAAGAAGAAAAGUGAAAAAGUGGGUAUUGACAGAAGAAUUUUCUGUAAUUUAGCCCUUUUUUAUCUAUAUGCUACCUGCUUUUAAUUGGGACUAUAUAAAAUCCGAAUAGAGUACAAGAUAUCAAAUAUUUGGACAUUUCUAAUUCACAUACUUCUUACUUUUCAACACUUAGCGGCCUUUUGGUUGGAUGUAAAUAGAAAUAUGCGUAGUUGAAGAUGUAUACAAUUCGAAAUACAACUGUUAUAAUUGUUGGUUAUUUAUUAUUGAGCUAAAAUAAGUCUAACUUUUUGCCCCAUGUUAAUAGGUUUAGAAGACUAAUAAGUUGAGUUGGGUAAGACUAAUAAGUUGAGUAGGGCUGCGAUUAGAGAUGUCAACGGGUCGGAUUCGGGGCGGAUUUUUAAAAACCCGAACCCGAACCCGACUCCAAACCGAGACCCGAACCCGAACCCGAACUCAACGGAUUUUAAAAAUCCAUGUCCAAACCCGAACCCGACCAAAAAUCCGAAACCCUAAUCCGAACCCGAACCCGAAAAUUUGAACCCGAAACACUUAUUUCUUUUUUGAAUAUUUCAAAAUAUUAUUAUAUUAAAUCUAAAUUUUUAAAAUACAAAUUCAAAUAUAACAUCAAAUUUUUAUAUAUAUAUUAUAUAUAAUACAAAAUAAAUUCGGGUUCAGAUCGGAUUCGGGUUCGGGUCGGAUACAAUCAAAAUCCAUAUCCGAAUCUAUAUCCAUCGAUUUCUAUUUUUCAUUCGGGUUUGAGUUCGGAUAAAAUUUCGAAUAUCCAUACCCAUUGACAUCCCUAGCUACGAUCCACAAAAGAUCUAACAGCAAGAGAUCCAACAAUAGAUCUAACGUUCAGAUAAAUUAAGACAGAUCGAAAUCUAUAAGCAUUGUGUUUGAGCUUUUAAGUCCGAUACAUACGCACUUCCUACUGGUAUAUAUUUUAAAUAAUAAAUAAUUAGCACUUACCAUUCAUAAUAACUAUAUACUAGUGUAGAUACCCGCGCGAUGCGGCGGGUAGUUACUGCUAAAGUAAAAAAUUUAUAAAUAAUAAAAUAUGAACAUAAGUAAAUAAAAUUAUAGUAUGCCAGUAUUAAAAUAUUAGUUCACAAUGGAGAGCAUUGUAGUAAACUUUUAGAAAGAGUAAAAUAUCAACAAAAGUAAUAGUUAUAUGCAGUGAACUAUAGCCAACACAAAAACUUGAGUGACAGGCAAUAAAAGCAAAGACAAUAGGAGAGGCCACUGCAAAAUUUUGAAAAAAAUCACUUCUUAGCUUCAGAUAUAAUUGAACUGCGCUGCUAAGGAGGAAAAAUCAAAGGAACAUUCCUAGCAGUUUACCGGAUCGACUCGAAUUGUCCAUGGAACGUUCCAUAUCGUCAAUCUCUGCAGGUUUGAAUCGAUUUACGUCGCCAUAUCAAAUCAAACAUUAAAAAAAAAAAGAAAAAAAGAAGAAGAAGAAAGCAAUUCAAAUUAAUAUUUUGUUGUGCAUACUUCACAGCCUACCAUUCCAUUCCUUAAACAAAUGAAAUAGAAUGAAAUACUACCAAUCGAAUGGGAAAUUAGAAAAAACGAAGCAAAUAUUUUGAUGCUACAAAAAGAAUAGGGCAAUAACAUGAGAAGUAGACCAUCAAGAGAAAAUAAUAAUCUGGAAGAAUAUUCCAGGAGCCAACCAUCAAGACUGACGCUUCCCCCAAUUCCUCUCAGAAAAGAAGUAUCUUCAUAGUAUGACACAGCCUAUAGAAUAAUCAAAGCAUUUUCUAAUGAUCUUCAAAAUAUCUAUUUAUUCUAGCAUAAAGACAGAUAGAGAAAGAAAACAGAACAAUAAAUAAAAAUAAAAACACCAAUUACUUUGCCAAAUAGAUUUUUGAAAUAGACAACAUUAACUUUCAAUUAACUCAAAAUAGACUGCAAACCCAGAAAACAAAAGUACAAAUUUUCUUGCACAAAUUACAGCACAAAAGAGCCUCGAAACCUAUUCUGAGUUACUUUGAGUUUUGAAUACUCAACUUUGAAUAUAAAAAUCAAGAUAGUUUACCAUUAUAUCGUUAGAAACUGAAUGAAUCUGAAAUUUACAUGGUUCCGUAAUUAUCUAUAUGAAGAAAAUAAAAAUAUAAGCUUACACUUUAUGUUUCUUCAGGUAAAAAAAAUAAAUCUUUUAAUAAAAUCCUAUCUUCCUCUUAUUCCAACAAAAAAGUUCAAACAAAAUACCAAAAAAAAACUUUCUGAAAAAUCAUAAUCGAGAAAACUAAAUUAGAGAAAUAUAGAAAAUUUUGAUCAAAUCAUAGUCAAGCUUGAGGCGGGUGAGACUCUCGUCGACGCUGCGCGACACGCGCUUGGCUCUAAGGUCGAACCUGUCGGCAUAGUGCCCACACUUGGUGGAGACGACGAUCAAUAAAAACUCAAUUUUAGAAGUCUUAAAAAGAAACCCAAAAUACUAACUAAUUGUAGACAGUAAAAGUAUCACCAAGAUAUGAGAAGAAGUUAUCAAUUAUAUUGAAGGAUCAUUCAUUGAAAGUAGGCAUUUAAUUUAAUUAUAUAGGCAUAAAAAUGGAAGAAAAUAAAUGCCUCAAAUAGGUAGUGGAGGGAUGUAACGGUAAAGGUAAAAAUAAAGGGAAAUGAAUGUCUCAAAUAUGUAGUGGAGGAUUGUUAAUUUUAAUUAAAAAAUCAGUAAAUUUAUUUAUUAUAGGUAGUGGAGGGAUGUAACGGUAAGGAUAAAAAUGAAAGAAAAUAAAUGCCCCAAAUAGAUAAUGAAGGAUUGUUAAUUUUAAUUAAAAUUAAAAAAUUUAUUUAUUUAUUGGAGGUGAUAAUUAGCAGUAGUGGAGAAAGAAGGGAAUGGGAGUAGGAGGGUGAGGGAGGGGGUGCCACGUGGCAAAAGUAUUAAGGAUUCAUAUUAUGUAAUGUAAUAGAUAAUAGAUAUCUUAUUUAAUUUAAUAUAAUAAAAAAUCUGAUAAUUAUAAAUAAUUUAUUUUUUUUAUGAUUUUAUGUGAAACCAAACGGAAGAGGUUUUAAAUGGUGGUGGGCCGUGGGGGCAUAGGGAAACCCGUCAACGGGCAAUGAAUGCUGGUGUGGCCACGUGGCGGGGCAUUGGCAUGGUAGGAUGGUAGUAUUGCAUUAUUGUGUUUUGGGGAGGCGUGGAAAAUUAAUGUGUGUGGUUUCUCGGCGUGGCCCCGAACCGGCAACGGCCUUGAGAAAGCAACAAAUCUGAACUCCGUGCCUUCGUAAUCCUAACAUUACUUUGACAACCACCAUUUCGGUUCUUGGCUGCUUCUUUUUUUUUCUUUUUAAUCCUUACUAAUUACCCUGUUUAUUUUUUAAAUUUUAAUUUAUUAUAAUUAAAUUUUAUAAUUUUAUUUAAUUUGUAUCGAUUUUUUGUCAACUAGUGAAGUUACUCGUGCAUUGCGAUGUAAUGAUACUAUCGAAGAGGCAAAUUCUGAUCUUUACAUCGCCUUCAAUCCUAGUGUCGAGCUCCUUCUUAGCCAUGAUCAUGUCAAUUUCAUAUAAAUUCUUCCACAUUCACUGUUUUUUCUCCCUCACUGACUCCAAAUCCAUCACCGUUUUCUCCUGCCGCGUCCCGUCGCGAUUCUCGGAACCCUAAUUUCAAUCAACGCAUAAUUAAAAUAAAAAAUUAAAAAAGUUACAAAACAUAAGCUCUUCUUGUGCGCCAAGAAAAAAAGAAAAAAGAAAAUAAUAUGAAAAAAAAAUGAAGAAACUUUAUUUUACUCAUUUGUUUUUAUGAAAAUAAUUGAGAGGGGGAAGUUUGGAAGGUGAAACAUUAGAUGGAGAUGAAACCAUAUAAAUACAUUACUUUUUUUUGAGAGAAAUAAAUACAUUAAUUGAGAGGUGGGGGUUAGGAAGAUGAAGCAUUAGGCGGAAAUGGAAUCAUGUAAACACAUUAAUUGAGAGGUGAAGGUUAAGAAGAUAAAGUAUUUGGUGAAAAUGGAACUAUAUAAAUACAUUAAUUGAAAGGUGAGGGUUAGAAAGAUAAAGCAUUGGGUGGAGAUAUGAGUGGAAAGAGGGAAGCUAACGGUGAAGAAGGAUUCGCAACGUGGCAAAAAUUUAGCAGAAAUAAUGUAUAAGUAUAAAUAUAAAUAUAGAUAUAAAUAUGACAGUAAUAUAGGAUGUUAGAGCCCAUUUGGUUUUGAAGUUUCUCUAAUAUUAUUUAGAGCAAAAAAACAAAAAAUUGGAUGAAAAUAUGUCUCCACGUAUUUCAUGGUCCUUCGUUGGAACCAAAGACUGUUACAAUUUGCGCAAUAGAAAAUUUUUCUAUCGUUAUUUUUUAUCGUACACACUAUAAUUUUUCUGUAAUCUCAAAUUUUAAUUAUUUUUGGUUAUCAAUUAAGCAAUGCCACAUCAUUGCUACCUCAACGGCACAUUUCCGUUCAGCCAGCUUAAUUGGACUACAAAGCUUAAUUGUAAUUAUUCUAAAGGCUUAAAAAAAUUAUAAGUAAUUAAAUUUGAGAACCAAAGUUAAAGCUGUCCAAAAUAUUUAAUACAUCAUACCCGAUCCGGACCCUAUUCGGACUCGAACCAGACCCGUAAAAAAUAGAUAGUAUACAGGUAAAAAAAAUUACUCAUUAAAAUUUUGGGUAUGAAUUCAGAUAUUUUAUACCCAUACCCGAUUUGAACCCGAUCCGAAGGGUAGGAUCUGGAAUAGUUUUAAAAUCAGGAUUCGGACUCGAACCCGAUAAAAUAUUCGAUAGUAAAUAAAAAAGAUUUGAACUUUUGAAAUUGAGAAAUCAAUUUUAAUAGGACUUAUAAAUAAGGGGUCUCUAAGUAUUUUCAUUCUAAUGAAACAUUGAAAUUUUAGCCGCUCUUUCACUCCUUUUUUUUCUAAUUUUUUUACUCUUUAUUUUUUGCUCUUUAUUUUUUUUGCUUCAUUUCCACCUAAGAAUUUUUUAUAAAAUAAUAUUUUCAUCGUCGUCAUUAUCAGCGAUAUUAAUCCUUUACAAGCACGACACAACUACACAAGUGAGUUUUUUCGAAAUCCCUUUCCAAUUAUAGUCAACAACUUGAUUUUUUUAUGAAUAUUCUAUUUAGUAAACUUUCUAAAUACUCUUUUUUUUUUCUCUUUUUGAAUGUUAUAUAAUCCUCAAAUUUUAUUUUUAUUUACUUACGAGAUAGUUGAGAGUAAAUAGGUCAUUUUAAAAGUUAACUUAACUUUAACCACUUAAUAACUACGGUAAAGCUAACACAACUAACGGUAGGAAUAUUGAUGAUAAUUUUCUGUAAACGUUUACAGAGACCUAUGUGAUAUUUUAAAUUUUGUAAGGCAUUUAUGAUAUCUUAGAUUUUGAGGAGUAUUAUGAAAUUGCCCUCUAUUAUAUAUUAUAUAUAUAAUAUAUAUAUAUAUAUAUAUAAUAUAUAAUAGUAUAUAUAUAUAUAUAUAUAUAUAUAUUUAUAUAUUAUAUAUAUUAUAUAUAUAUAUAUAUAUAAUUAUGCUACAGUAUAUCUAUCAAUAGUACCAAGUUUGUACUAUUGAGUUUUUGGCCGUUGAAUGAAUAGAUGUGCGGUUAUGAUGAUAGUGGUCCCCGGUUAAAUUAAUAGUGGUUUCCAUAGGGUUGAGGUGGAUGGUGGUUUAAUAGUAUAUCUAACGGGUGGAAAUGAUCAAAGGCUAGAAUCUAACGGUAGAAAACUCAAUAGUACCAAGGGCUUGUACUAUCGAUAGUAUAGUAGCCGGACUUCUAUAUAUAUAUAGUUAUAUAUAUAUUAGAGUCCGGCUACUAUGUUUUAUUAAUAGCACGGAGACUUGGUGCUAUUAAGUUCCCGCCGUUAGAUCUACUCUUUUGAUCAUUUCACCCGUUAGAUCAUACUAUUCAACCAACCACUCACUUUAACCUUAGGGGCCCACUCAUCCUAACCACACAUUUCUUAACUCAAUGGCCAAAAACUUGGUGCACCAAUGACUUGGUGCUAUUAAUAGCAUUAGUAGCUAGUUCUAAUAUAUAUAUAUAAUAUAUAUUAUAUAUUAUAUAUAUUAUAUAUAUUGAUUGUAAGUUUGACAUGUCUUGACGCGAGAAUGUUAGGUUUGGAGUUCAAUCAGAUUGCAAUUCCUCCAUCAAUCUGUAGAAAAUCUUCUUGAUUUUUCAAAUCAAUUUUUCCAUAUAUGAUAUGGACAUAAAUUAUCCUAUUAAAUUAUAUAAAUGGAAAAACAUUAUCCCUGAACCAAGCAGAGCAUUGUAGAUUUUAUAUAUAUAUAGAGUUGAGCUAAAAUACUCUCAAAAGCACCAUGAGGGUGGUGCUUUUGAGUUUUUUGCCAUUAGAUUAAGAGAUGUGAGGUUGAGAUGAUGGUGAUAGAUGGUGAUAGGUGGAAUAGUAUCUGAUCCAAUAGUUAUUAGUAAUUAAGGAGUAGAUCCAAUGGCUAAAAACCUAAUAGCACCAUUGGGGUAAUACUUCUAAAAAUAUUUUAGCUCAAUUCUAUAUAUAUAUAUAUAUAUAUAUGUAUAUAUAUAAUUUAUUUUUUUAAUGCAAACUGGUUCAGUAAUUUGGUCCAGUAAUUAGUUAGGAUAGAAAUAUUUGAUUAAAUAGUGGCGAAUAUUAAAAAAAUGUUAUGGAAAAUAAGACAAAGGAUAAAUCAAAAAAUGACUCUGUUCCACGGGUAUGUAGAAUUAGGGAUGCAAACAGAGUGGAUUCGAUUCAGGGACAGAAGAGGUCACCUUCAUUCCUCUCCAUUUCCUUGGUUGUGGGAGCCGAUUCACAGUUGGUUAAUUUUUUAUCCUAUUUUUUGCUCCUAUUUAUCAUUCCAUUUGAAGUAGGUCAGUAUAAGAACGAAUUUUUGACGAAUCAGAGCGAAGUAAUUAGGGGGCGUUUAGAUUGACGAAUUUGUAUAUCCAACAUAUAUAACUCAAGUGUAGUGGUGUUUGAAUUUUCCUGAAGUGUGACUAUUUUUUUGUUAUUUGUUUUGAUAUAACUUGUACAGUUUGAAAGUUAAAUUCAAUUAUUUUUUUUUAUUUAUUUUGAUCUAAUUUGGUGUCAGUGAAAUUAGUUUUUUUUAGUUUUAUUGUUUGUUUUGAUAUAAGUAAGUGAAUCUCGCUAUCUUCUGCAUAUAUUGAUAAACUUGCCGCUUUAAAAUUUAACCUAUUAAAUUAUUAAAUUUUUUAUUAUUAUUUAAAGGUAAUUCUAAUUUAUUAUAAAUAAGUUAAUUCUAACCUAUUAUAAAGAAAAUAGAGUUUAAGUUUUACUAUUUAAUAAAUUUUUUAGAAAAGGUUGAGUGUGUUGGAAGUCAAGUUCGACACUUUAAAGGAAAAAGUCGAUAGUAGGUGAAGUGGAGGUCUAAUGUAACUUGAGUUGCACUAUAUUUUUGACUUACAUCAAAACAAAUAUCGGAAGUAAUGAAAAAACAAAUACCGGAAGUAAUAAAACUUGGGUUCCACCCCUCCGCUUAUACUAAAACAAACGGCCCCGAAGGAAUACAGAAGGUUUCCAACCUACUCUUCUAUUCUCUUUCAGAGCAUUUUAUUUUUUUAUUUUUUUAAUUUUUAACCUCCACUUAUGAUUUUAUUCGGGACAGAUCAGAGGAGAAGCCCUGUCAACCUUGAUUCAUUUGCAUUCCUAGACAAGAUUACUCUUAACGUAUUAUUCCAAAUAAAUUAUUGUUCAAGAUUGCUGUCAUCUGCUUCGAUCUAGAUAAUUAAUUUUAUUGUUGUUAAAUUUAGCUAUGUUUGGCGAAACAUAUAUAUGCGAAACACAUUACUUUUAUUCGAUGCUCAUUCUAUUUCCAGGCUCAAGCAAGCAGUAGCUUCUACCAAACAAAAUUUAUACUAAAAUAACUUAUCUGGGCAUCUAAAUGGAACUAAACGGUGAUGGUUGUACUCUUUAAUUUAAUUAGCAAGUGAUUAGCAAGUGAUUAGUUGCACACUAAUGUGAUUUGCCCUUUAUUUAAAAGGCAGUUUAUUGGUGGAUUGGAAGGGUGGUCAGGGUGUAUCCAACAGUCCAAAUGCGUCCAACGUUUUCCACCACAAGCACAGCUCAUGAUGCUGUGUGAUUGCGCAAGCAUCACACUCAAUAAUUAAUUAUUGGGUUAAUUGCAUAUACGUACCUGUAAACAUGAUGAAUUGUAGAUAUAUUUCUGCAAAACUCAACUUUCAUAAGCUGUCACUACAAAAAUCCUAAUGUAUUCACAUAUGUUCUUGCCGUGAGCUUCCGUUGGAAAAAUUUCGUUAACCUCAGUUAAAAUACUUAACCAUAAUUAAUUAAUAAGGUGAAUUUAUAAUUUACCCCUUUCUUCUUCCUCUCCCUCUUCCUCUUCCCUAUUCUUCGUCGCCGGCGAACCUGACCCCGACCUCGUCGCGGCGGCAAACCCUCUUCCUCUUUCUCUUCCCUCUUCCUCUCCCUCUUUCUCUUCCCCCUUCUUCUUCCUCUCCUUUUUCCUCUUCCCUCUUCUUCGUCGUCGGCGAACCCGACCCCAACCUCACCGACCUCAACCUAGCCGUGGCGGCAAACCCUCUCCCUCUUCCUCUUCUUCUUCUUCUUCCCUCUUCCUCUCUCUCUUCCUCUUCCCCUUUCUUCUUCCUCUCCCUCUUCCUUUUCCCUCUUCUUCGUCGCCGGUGAACCAGACCCCGGCCUCACCGAAGCGCCACCGACGCUGACCUCCCCCUUGCCUCCAAGCUCCUCCGGCCUCCGCAGCCUCCUUCUUCUUCUUCUUUGUAUCCUCCUCUUCUCCUCCUUCUUUAUUGUCGUCGUCGAUGAUCCGUCGUCGCCGCCGUCCGCCCCCGUGGCCCGAAGAGGAAGAGGGAGUACUUUUUGAGGGGUAUAUUUGUGAGAGCAAAAUUAUCAUUUCACAAGUAUACUGUUAAAAAAUUUAACAGUUCUCUAACAGAUCCUAACUAGAGGGACAUAUCUGAAUACAUUAGGAUUUUUGUAAGAAUAACUUAUGAAGUUGAGUUUUGUAGGAAUAUAUCUGCAAUUUAUUAUGUUUGAAAUGACGUGUAUGCAAUUAGCCCUUAAAUAUUUUAUGCUCACUGUUCAUAGUACAAAAACAAAAAGACUUGAUGGACAGUACCUGCGAUUUUAAGUUUGAAAUCUAAUUGUAUCAAGUGAUUUAAAUUCUAUUUGGUUGCGUGAACACUUAAGUAAUAUUUAAUUUUUUUCAUUUAGAAAGUAUAUGAUAUUUGAUAGAUGAGUAGCUUAAUCAAAUGUAUAUAAAAUGAUUAUUAUAUUUGACCCGUAAGUUAUUAUUUCAGAAUAAGAUAAAUAUUUGGAGGGAUAAAAUGUAUUAUCUUACUAAAUUAUGAAUGAUGGGAUUUUUUUAAAAAAAGCAUAAAUCAUGCUGCUUGCGUCAAAUUACACAAAAAAAUCCUAUACUAACAAUAUUUAGAUAUAUAUAUAUAUAUAUUUUAUUUGAUAUAUCUAUUUGAUUUACUUAAAAAACUUAUAAAUUUAGCAAAUGAAGAGUUCGAUCACACGUCUUUUUUAUUUUUUGCAUAAGAUGUUAAAUUAUGAAUAGCGAGAUCUUUUAAUGUGCAAAAAUCAAACUCUUUACUUAUAAUCAUAUUAAAAAAAAAUUUAUAUCAAAUAAGUUAUUCUUGGUGAUCAUUAAAUAUUUUAUUCCGUCAUCAGAACACGGCCUUAUUUUAUUUACAAAAAAUGACAUAGAAACUUAAAUAUGGUAUACAUCCAAGACAUUGAUCAUAGUUGUUAUUUAUUUGAUACUAUAAAUUUCCUAAACAAGUCAAAAAAUAUUUCAAAUAAAAAAUUUUAUAAGUUCAAAAAAGAACACCAUAAUAUGUAAUGUUUGAAAUAUACUUAUAUACAUUAGGAGAAGGAUCGGCAAUCACGUGCGCCGUCCUCGAACCAGCUCGUAUUCGGCUAAAAAUUAAUGAGUUCGAAAUGAAUUAUCUGUUUUAACAAACGAGCCGAACACGAGUUACGAAAAUAAACAAUAAGGAAGAAAUAAUUUUUAUCGAAUUUUACUUUAAUUCAAAAUUCAGUUUUGAUAAAACAAACAAAUACUAAUUUUUAUUUUAUUUUAUUUUAUUUUUUUUAUUUUUUUAAGAGGUGGGCGUUCUUCACGAGGGUUGAUAAUGGGGAUGGGCGUGGAGGGUUGUCUGGCCGAGGAAAGGCGACCAGACAGCAUAUCAAAUGGGGCCCAUUUCAGUUUUUGGAAAGGCAUGUCAGCCUUUUCUUGUUUCUUUAUUAUAGUUAAGUUCAGUUAAUAAGCUGUGUUCUUUUAAGGCCAAUUUAUAAUUAUUAUAUUAUUCUUUUUAUUUAGGUGGCCAACGAAAAUUGAUUCCUCAGCUGCAUUACCCAAAUGAACACUUUUGCACACUUUUUUGCAUAAACCAUUUUUUACUUAUAUUACUAUUAGUUUUUCAUAAGAGUUGCUACAAUUUUUAAUUACUAUAAUUUUUAGACUAACUUUUUUGCAUUAAUCUUAUUGUUUUUAUUCUAAUACAAAAAAUUUAAAAGAAUUAGUUAAACUGUGGAACGGAGGUUAAUUUAUACAAUUAUACUAUACUUUGGUUGUAGAUUUUUAGCUAGUUUUCCAACACAUUAGCAUUACAUGAAAGCAGUUACAACAAUUGUCUAAAAUUUUAGGCCUUUUUGCAUAAAAAAUUCACUUAUUUUGGGUUUUUGCAAAAUCGGGACACCUUUUUCGUUUUUGCAGAUUCGGUCCACUUUUUCAGCAAACUGACCAAAAUACCUUUAUAUAUUUUUCUCUCUUCUCUUUUUUUUCUCUCUCCUUUCUUCGAUCUCGUCGCCGCAGACCCCCAGCCCUAGACCGACUCCCCCUCUCCUCCUCGCCUCCUCGUCCUUGGCCCCACCCCUACCGCCUUCGCCGCCGCCAACGUAGGAGGAGCGACGGUGUUGGUAGAGGAGAAUGAGUGGCUGCGACGGAGCAACGCGGCGGUGGUGGCGGAGCUGGCCCCGAGCUUCGCGGCUUCUCCUCUCGUCGCAACCCGCGGCCUCGUCGACCAGCGUAGGUCGGCGGCCGCCAAGCCCGAGCUCAACAGCGCGAGCACCACCUCGAGCAGCUCCCUCACCAUCGACGACGAGCUUUCGACACCACCGCCGUGAGAUGGGGCUGCUGGGGCUCUCGCUAUACGCCGACUCCGCCGAGCGCUGCGGCGUGUAAAACGUCUCCUCGUCCGACGACGCCAUCGGCGCCACCGCGCGCCGCCGAGGCGGCGGCGGAAGGGGCGUCCCCGUCAGCGGAGAUCGAGGGAGUCGAGCUCCUCCACAGGAGGAAGAAGAAGAAAAUGAAAAAGAAGAAGAAAAUGAAAAAGACCCGCGCGUGUUCUUCUCCGUCGGCAAAUGGUGUAAUGGUGUAAUGGUGUAAUGGCGUAAAUAGUGUAAUGGUGUAAUGGUGUAAUGGUAAUGGUGUAAUAGUAAUGGUGUAAUAGUGUAAUGGUAAUGGUGUAACGGUAAUGGUGUAAUGGUGUAAUUCUAUCGCUCUUUUUUUUUUCU
rnacentral:lncRNA from 1 species